AUUUGAAAGCUGGCCUUCGGGUCCGCAUUGUAAUUUGUAGAGGAUGCUUUGGGUGAAACGCCAGUCUAAGUUCCUUGGAACAGGACGUCAUAGAGGGUGAGAAUCCCGUAUGUGACUGGAAAUGUUAACCUAUGUAAAGCUCCUUCGACGAGUCGAGUUGUUUGGGAAUGCAGCUCUAAAUGGGAGGUAAAUUUCUUCUAAAGCUAAAUAUUGGCGAGAGACCGAUAGCGCACAAGUAGAGUGAUCGAAAGAUGAAAAGCACUUUGGAAAGAGAGUUAAAAAGCACGUGAAAUUGUUGAAAGGGAAGCGCUUGCAAUCAGACUUGUUUAAACUGUUCGGCCGGUCUUCUGACCGGUUUACUCAGUUUGGACAGGCCAGCAUCAGUUUCGGCGGCCGGAUAAAGGCUCUGGGAAUGUGGCCUUCACUUCGGUGAAGGUGUUAUAGCCCAGGGUGUAAUACGGCCAGCCGGGACUGAGGUCCGCGCUUCGGCUAGGAUGCUGGCGUAAUGGUUGUAAGCGACCCGUCUUGAACCCCCG
rnacentral:rRNA from 1 species